UCAACCCAUUGAACCAUCUAACUCAUCAAAUUAAAUGAGUUCAUGGGUUGACUCAACUCAUUUGGCUAAAUGAUUAUUUGGCUAAAUGAGUUGAGUCAACCCAUGAACUCAUUUAACUCUAAACUCAUUGGGUAAUGAGU